CAGACUAGCUAAUUAGCAAACACCCAUAAUACAAAACCAGCUCAAAGCCAAGUAGAUAAGAAAAACCCAGAUACAAAAAUUGGCAAGAAAUCACUCACCGGCGAAAAAAAACUCCAAUUAAUGCAAAUGGGAUUUGCUAUACCACUCAAAACAGUGAGUUCCCCAGUAAGAUUUCGGCUACAAUACUCAAAUCUUCACAUGUAUUACAACAAUAAGAGAAAUAGGGUCGAAACUCCAGAUCGGAAAAAAGGUGAAAAUGGGG
rnacentral:misc_RNA from 1 species